rnacentral:rRNA from 1 species
AGUGGCGGACGGGUGAGUAACGCGUGGGUAACCUGCCUUAUACAGGGGGAUAACAGUCAGAAAUGGCUGCUAAUACCGCAUAAGCGCACAGAGCUGCAUGGCUCGGUGUGAAAAACUCCGGUGGUAUAAGAUGGACCCGCGUUGGAUUAGCUAGUUGGUGGGGUAACGGCCCACCAAGGCGACGAUCCAUAGCCGGCCUGAGAGGGUGAACGGCCACAUUGGGACUGAGACACGGCCCAGACUCCUACGGGAGGCAGCAGUGGGGAAUAUUGCACAAUGGGGGAAACCCUGAUGCAGCGACGCCGCGUGAAGGAAGAAGUAUCUCGGUAUGUAAACUUCUAUCAGCAGGGAAGAUAGUGACGGUACCUGACUAAGAAGCCCCGGCUAACUACGUGCCAGCAGCCGCGGUAAUACGUAGGGGGCAAGCGUUAUCCGGAUUUACUGGGUGUAAAGGGAGCGUAGACGGAUGGGCAAGUCUGAUGUGAAAGGCAUGGGCUCAACCUGUGGACUGCAUUGGAAACUGUCAUACUUGAGUGCCGGAGGGGUAAGCGGAAUUCCUAGUGUAGCGGUGAAAUGCGUAGAUAUUAGGAGGAACACCAGUGGCGAAGGC